UGAGGAAUAUUGGGCAAUGGGCGAGAGCCUGACCCAGCAACGCCGCGUGAAGGAAGAAGGCCUUCGGGUUGUAAACUUCUUUUGACAGGGAAGAGAGAGGACGGUACCUGUCGAAUAAGUCACGGCUAACUACGUGCCAGCAGCCGCGGUAAUACGUAGGUGACAAGCGUUAUCCGGAAUUACUGGGCGUAAAGCGCACGCAGGCGGCAGCUUAAGUCUGACGUGAAAUCUCCUGGCUUAACUGGGAGAGGUCGUUGGAAACUGGGCAGCUUGAGGUGGUGAGAGGGGUGCAGAAUUCCCGGUGUAGUGGUGGAAUGCGUAGAUAUCGGGAGGAAUACCAGUGGCGAAAGCGGCACCCUGGCACUGACCUGACGCUCAUGUGCGAAAGCGUGGGGAGCAAACG
rnacentral:rRNA from 1 species